GAUGAACGCUGGCGGCGUGCCUAAUACAUGCAAGUCGAGCGAACAGAUGAGGAGCUUGCUCCUCUGACGUUAGCGGCGGACGGGUGAGUAACACGUAGAUAACCUACCUAUAAGACUGGGAUAACUUCGGGAAACCGGAGCUAAUACCGGAUAAUAUAUUGAACCGCAUGGUUCAAUAGUGAAAGACGGUUUUGCUGUCACUUAUAGAUGGAUCCGCGCCGCAUUAGCUAGUUGGUAAGGUAACGGCUUACCAAGGCAACGAUGCGUAGCCGACCUGAGAGGGUGAUCGGCCACACUGGAACUGAGACACGGUCCAGACUCCUACGGGAGGCAGCAGUAGGGAAUCUUCCGCAAUGGGCGAAAGCCUGACGGAGCAACGCCGCGUGAGUGAUGAAGGUCUUCGGAUCGUAAAACUCUGUUAUUAGGGAAGAACAAAUGUGUAAGUAACGAUGCACGUCUUGACGGUACCUAAUCAGAAAACCACUGCUAACUACGU
rnacentral:rRNA from 1 species